CACGUAGGGGCCAAGCGUUGUCCGGAUUUAUUGGGCGUAAAGAGCGUGUAGGCGGCCAUGUAGGUCCGGUGUGAAAACUCGAGGCUUAACCUCGAGAUGUCAUCGGAAACCAUUUGGCUAGAGUCCGGAAGAGGAGAGUGGAAUUCCUGGUGUAGCGGUGAAAUGCGCAGAUAUCAGGAAGAACACCAAUGGCGAAAGCAGCUCUCUGGGAACGGUACUGACGCUGAGACGCGAAAGCGUGGGGAGCGAACAGG
rnacentral:rRNA from 1 species